GCAUCGAUGAAGAACGUAGCGAAAUGCGAUACUUGGUGUGAAUUGCAGAAUCCCGUGAACCAUCGAGUCUUUGAACGCAAGUUGUGCCCGAAGCCGUGAGGUUGAGGGCGCGUCUGCCUGGGUGUCACAC
rnacentral:rRNA from 1 species